rnacentral:sRNA from 1 species
ACCUAUCACGCGUAGGCCGCGGUUCCGGCUGCGCCGCCCGCACCCAUCGACGACCGCGCGCUACGUCUCGUCGGCA